GCACGCCCGUGUGUGUGUGUCCUUUCGGCGCAUAAUUCAAUAAUUGUGUGAAGGACUUAGACUGACGGAUGUGAAAUGGAAGCUGAUUCCAGAUCAAUGGUGCUUGUGCAAAGAAACCUUUUGGAUCCGAUUUUAGCUUUAAUUUAUUGGGAACUCCAUUGAAAAUGCGACCGAUGAUACUUCCAAUGCCGUAGAAAGUCAUUAAAAGUGUAGCCUUCGUUUCAGGGACUCCUCUUGUGUUGGCGCUGGCAACAAGAUGGUAGAGUGUCCCAACAAACGCUAUACUAAUCAGGAUUAGGCUAAGAACUGUGGCGUGAAGCCCAACAGCACCAAGGAGUAGCAGAGAAGAUCUCCAGCCAUACAGCCCUCUCAGUACAUUGAUUAAAAGAGGUAUAGUUAUCCAUCCCACAGCAGUCCCCGC